rnacentral:rRNA from 1 species
UACGGAGGGUGCAAGCGUUGCUCGGAAUUAUUGGGGCGUAAAGGGCAGGUAGGUGGUCUUAUUUGUCAGGGGUGAAAGCCUUGAGCUCAACUCAAGAAGUGCCCCUGAAACGGUAAGACUCGAGUACUGGAGAGGGUCGUGGAAUUCCCGGUGUAGCGGUGAAAUGCGUAGAGAUCGGGAGGAACACCAGAGGCGAAGGCGGCGACCUGGACAGUUACUGACACUCAACUGCGAAAGCGUGGGGAGCAAACAGG